CAUGCAAGAUCACAACCAAUUGGGAUGCUCUGAAGAGCUAUUAACAGGAAGCUCGCAAGAACCAUAUAACAGGAAGCCCAUGAGAGCUAAUAACGGACGCUCUUUUGAGUUGUGGUGUGUCCGCAACACAUGUAGGACCACAACCAAUUCGGGAACCCUGUAUCCAUCAAAUUUUAUUUAUUCAAACAAGACUUAAUACUUGUCAGUCAUCGUCG
rnacentral:lncRNA from 1 species